GGUGCUAUAGCUGCUUACAAUGAGGCUACUGGAGUUUGACUAUACAUAAACAUGGAUCUCAAUGAGCUCUUAUAGUGGAUGUUGGCGAUAGUUGAUCCACUAUAGGAGUAGAAUGUACACAUAGAUGGGAUCUAGCGACCCUAGCAAAAGGGAAUAGUCCUAUGAAAUUUAUGAAACUGAGUCUUUAAGUCCAUGGCCAUAGCA
rnacentral:lncRNA from 1 species